GAUGAACGCUGGCGGCGCGCUUAACACAUGCAAGUCGAACGGUGAAGCAGGAGCUUGCUCUUGUGGAUCAGUGGCGAACGGGUGAGUAACACGUGAGCAACCUGCCCCUGACUCUGGGAUAAGCGCUGGAAACGGCGUCUAAUACUGGAUAUGUGAUGUGACCGCAUGGUCUGCAUCUGGAAAGUUUUUUCGGCCAGGGAUGUGCUCGCGGCCUAUCAGCUUGAUGGUGAGGUAAUGGCUCACCGUGGCUUCGACGGGUAGCCGGCCUGAGAGGGUGACCGGUCACACUGGGACUGAGACACGGCCCAGACUCCUACGGGAGGCAGCAGUGGGGAAUAUUGGACAAUGGGCGGAAGCCUGAUCCAGCAACGCCGCGUGAGGGAUGACGGCCUUCGGGUUGUAAACCUCUUUCAGCAGGGACGAAGCGCAAGUGACGGUACCUGCGGAAGAAGCACCGGCCAACUACGUGCCAGCCGCCGCCGUAA
rnacentral:rRNA from 1 species